GGCAGUGUAGCAUAGUGGUUAAGGAGCAGGACUCGUAACCAAAAGGUUGCCGGUUCGAUCCCUGCUGUGACAUUGCUG
rnacentral:tRNA from 1 species